GGGCGCGUAGUGGAGUGGUUACCACGUUGGUCUUCGAUUCAGGCACUUACGCUUAUGUAAAUGCUUACGUAAUCAACCAAAGUUCGUCGGUUCGAUCCCGGCCGUGCUCG
rfam:Rhizoctonia solani isolate BBA 69670 genome assembly, contig: RSOLAG22IIIB_scaffold01777